CAGCCGCCGCGGGAAUACGUAGGGUGCAAGCGUUAAUCGGAAUUACUGGGCGUAAAGCGUGCGCAGGCGGUUUUGUAAGACAGAGGUGAAAUCCCCGGGCUCAACCUGGGAACUGCCUUUGUGACUGCAAGGCUAGAGUACGGCAGAGGGGGAUGGAAUUCCGCGUGUAGCAGUGAAAUGCGUAGAUAUGCGGAGGAACACCGAUGGCGAAGGCAAUCCCCUGGGCCUGUACUGACGCUCAUGCACGAAAGCGUGGGGAGCAAACAGGAUUAGAUACCCCUGUAGUCCCUGUCUCUUAUAC
rnacentral:rRNA from 1 species